rnacentral:pre_miRNA from 1 species
CUAAGGAAAUAGUAGCCGUGAUUUUACAUUUCAACCUAUUACAUAUCACAGUUGCUGUUUCUUUUAGAU